rnacentral:lncRNA from 10 species
UAUAUUCAUAUAUAAUAUAUAUUCAUAUAUAAUAUAUAUAUUCAUAUAUAAUAUAUAUAUUCAUAUAUAAAUAUAUAAAUAAAUAAAUAUAUACAUAUAUAUAUGGGCCCUGUGUGUGCAGUGAUGUAAGACUGACAUGGCUCUGCCUUCAUAUAAUUUAUUUGUUUUUAUUUUUUGGAGAUGGAGUCUCGCUCUGUCGCCCAGGCUGGAGUGCAGUGGAGCGAUCUCAGCUCACUGCAACCUCCGCCUCCCAGGUUCAAGCAAUUCUCCUGUCUCAGCCUCCUGAGUAGCUGGGAUUACAGGCAUCUGCCACCAUGCCCGGCUAAUUUUUGUAUUUUUGGUAGAGAGGGUUUCACCAUGUUGGCCAGGCUGGUCUUGAACUCCUGACAUCAAGGGAUCCACCCGCCUCGGCCUCCCAAAUGCCUCUUAGAAUUUAGAUUCCACUCAUUCAACUCCUGACUCCUCUACUUUCUGGGUGACCUCAGGCAAGUUAUGAAUCUCUCAAGAUUUAGUUUCCUUAUCUGUACAUUAGGGUUAACAAUUGUACAUAUCCUGUAGGGUAGUUCUUAGGUUUAAAUGAAUAUAUGUUAAGCUGUCAUCAUCGUGACUCACUGAGUGGUGAAUACUUUUGUAAAAUAAAAAGUAUCUGAGACAGGUCUCAAUCAGUUUAGAGGCUUAUUUUGCCAAGGUUGAGGACACACAUGGGAAAAAGACACAAGUCACAGUAGGAUCUGUGGCCCACACAUUUUUCCAAAGAGGAUUUUGAGGGCUUCAGUAUUUAAAGGGGAAAGUGAGGGUAGGAGGAGUAGGGGUAGAGGAAAAAAACAAAAAGGAGUGUAGGUAGUGAGUUAAGUGGUCACAUUCUUGUGAGGCUUUGAUUAGUGCUCACUGAAUCCACAUGUUACAUGUGAAGUGGGGUAGAGGAACAGUCAAUUAAGCAUUUGUCAGGACUCAGUAAAUAUGCAUAUGUCUGAGGUGGGCAGAGGGAUGGUUUCUAGUCUUGACUUUGUGCUGUAUCUGUGAAGAUAAGCUGUUUACAUUGUCAAGGUAAGGGAGGCCAACUGAGGAGAUAUGGAAUCUUCUAUCUUGCGGCUGUGUUUAGGCAAAAGGAAAGGCAGUUUUUUUGCAUGACUGAGUUUCCAGGCUUCACUUUUCCCUUUGGCAUAGUAAGUUUGGGGUCUGACUUGUUUGUUUGUUUGUUUGUUUGUUUGAGAUGGAGUUUCGCUCUUGUUGCCCAGGCUGGAGUGCAAUGGCACGAUCUCAGCUCACCACAACCUCCGCCUCCCAGGUUCAAGCGAUUCUCCUGCCUCAGCCUCCCGAUUAGCUGGGAUUGUAGGCAUGUGCCACCACGCCCGGCUAAUUUUUGUAUUUUUAGUAGAGACAGGGUUUCUCCAUAGUCAGGCUGGUCUCGAACUCCCGACCUCAGGUGAUCCACCCACCUCAGCCUCCCAAAGUGCUAGGAUUACAGGUGUGAGCCACUGCGCCCGGCCUGGGGUCUGACAUUUUAUUUUCCUUUCACACUUCAUUCUAUCAGUCAGUCUUUGUAUAUGAUGAACCACCACUUUCCAAUUUGGCUGUGAGGGGUUGCUGUAUGUCUGGCCUACUUGAGGCAGAAUGUCAUUAUUUUGAAAAGCCAUUCACUGAUUAAUUAGGAGAUACUGUGUACUCUCUCCAUUAAGCGCUGUGCUUGGAGCCAGUGACAUAGAGAUGAAUAAAACUGAGUCCUGCCCACAAUGGGAUCACUAUCUGGUGACACAGAUACAGAGAAAACAAUGUCAGUGCUGUUUACUGAGUGCUUAGAUAGAAAUAAGGGUUUUUAUGGGCACACAUAGGAGAGGCAGCCACCCUCAUUUGAGGAUGUGGGUUGAGGAUUGAACAGGGUGACUAGGAAGGUAGGAGCAGGGAUGCCUAAGGGAGUGUUAAAGAAUGAGCAGGAGUUAAUGUGUGGAUGGAAGAACAGAAGCCUCCCUUAAGCUUUUUCUCUACUUAAGCAUGUUCAUUUACAUUUUAGUUUUCUUUGAGGACUUGCUGGAUUGCCCUGGUUGGGAAGAGGCAUCUUAUGGAACCAAUGAAAAAAGACUGAAGGGUUCGGGAGGCUCAUGGGGUCCUUGUCAUCUCAGUCCAGCAAUUUGUAUAAGCUCUAAAGGCUUCCCAUGCAAGCUUCAGUAUUAGUUGCCAGUCAAUGCAGCCACCUGAUAGAGAUAUUGUGAUUUUUAAAAAAUAGUAAUUUUUAAAAACUCCCUCAAACUUGAGCUGCUUUAUUAACUUUGUAAUUUAAAAAAUUAUAUGAGUGCAGUAAUAUAUGAGUACAAUAUGUGCCUUUGAAAUACACAAAUAGGCCAGGUGCGGUGGCUUAUGCCUGUGAUCCCAGCACUUUGGGAGGCUGUGGCAGGUGGAUCACCUGAGGUCAGGAGUUUGAGACUAGCCUGUCCAACAUGGCAAAACCCUGUCUCUACUAGAAAUACAAAAAUAAGCCAGGUGUGGUGGUGGGCUUCUAUAAUUCCAGCUACUUGGGAGGCUGAGGCAGGAGAAUCUCUUGAACUCAGGAAGUGGAGGUUGCAGUAAGCCGAGAUUGUGCCACUGCACUCCAGCCUGGGCAACAGAGCAAGACUCUGUCUCAAAAACAGAAAAACCAUACACGAACAGAAAUUAAAAAUAGUAAGAAACAAAUAGAAUUUAAAUUUCAUUUUCUCCUACCCUGGGCAUACAUGUGACAAAAUCCAAUAUAUAUCACUCUGAACAGCCUCAGGGUACAGCCACUUUAUAUUGCACAAGCUGUAAAAGUAGUCAUUUUCAAACUCAACUAUUAUUUAAAAUGAUUACAAGCAUUUAAAAUGUUUAAAAUAAAGAUCCAACCCUGUUCACUUGGGAAACAGUUGUGGCAGUUCCUUAAAGUGUUGAACAUAGGGUUAGCAUAUUACCCAGCAGUGAAUUAACCAAAUAAAUAAGACAUAUGUGAUAGAGGUAUAUAUACCCAAGAGAAUGCAAACAUAUGUCCACACAAAGGCUUGUGCGUGAAUAUUUGUAGCAGCAUUAUUCAUAGACAAAAUGUGGAAACAACCCAAAGUCCAUCAACUGAUGAGUGGUUAAACAAAAUGUCAUAUAUAUACAAUGGAAUCUGUAAAAAGGAAUGCAGUACUGAUACAUGGUUUCUGGAUGAACCUUGAAAACAUUAUGCUGAGUGAAAGAAUCCAGUUGCAAAAGGUCAUUUAUUGUAUGGUCCCAUUUAUAUGAAAUGGCCAGAAUAGGCAAAUCUAUAGAAACAGAAAGUAAGUUCCCAGGUGCUGGGGGGAGUGGAGAAUGGAGAAUGACUGCUAAUAGGUACUGGGUUGAUUUUGUGGGAAGAUGAAAAUGUUCUGAAAAUAGAUGGUGGUGAUGAUUGCACAACUCUAUAAUAUAUGAACCAGCCAUUUAAUUGUAUAUUUUUAAAGGGUGAAUUUCCCUACUUGCUUCAGCAACAUAUAUACUAAAAGGGUGAAUUUUAUAGUAUGUGAAUUAUAUCUCAAUAAAGCUGUUAAAAAAAAAAAAGCAAAGAACUUGGAAACACUUCCUACAGGAAGGAACACCAGAGCUGCAUUUUAUUAUUUUUAGGGUCUUGCUUUGUUGCCCAGGCUGGAAUGCAGUGGCGCAAUCAAGGUUCACUGCAGGCUGGGUGCAGUGGCUCACACCUGUAAUCCCAGCUCACGCCUGUAAACUUUGGGAGGCUGAGGUGGGCAAAUCACACCUGAGGUCAGCAGUUUGAGACCAGCCUGGCCAACAUGGUGAAAUCCUGUCUCUAAUAAAAGUACAAAAAUUGGCCAGGUGCG